rnacentral:rRNA from 1 species
AGUGAACGCUGGCGGUAGGCCUAACACAUGCAAGUCGAACGGCAGCACAGUAAGAGCUUGCUCUUACGGGUGGCGAGUGGCGGACGGGUGAGGAAUACAUCGGAAUCUACUUUUUCGUGGGGAUAACGUAGGGAAACUUACGCUAAUACCACAUACGACCUACGGGUGAAAGCAGGGGAUCUUCGGACCUUGCGCGAUUGAAUGAGCCGAUGUCGGAUUAGCUAGUUGGCGGGGUAAAGGCCCACCAAGGCGACGAUCCGUAGCUGGUCUGAGAGGAUGAUCAGCCACACUGGAACUGAGACACGGUCCAGACUCCUACGGGAGGCAGCAGUGGGGAAUAUUGGACAAUGGGCGCAAGCCUGAUCCAGCCAUACCGCGUGGGUGAAGAAGGCCUUCGGGUUGUAAAGCCCUUUUGUUGGGAAAGAAAAGCAGCAGGUUAAUACCCCGCUGUUCUGACGGUACCCAAAGAAUAAGCACCGGCUAACUUCGUG